UGCGUGGCAUACGGCUCAGUAACACGUAGUCAACAUGCCCAGGGGACGUGGAUAACCUCGGGAAACUGAGGAUAAACCACGAUAGGCCAAGAUUUCUGGAAUGAAUCAUGGCUGAAAUCUACAUGGCCCCUGGAUUGGACUGCGGCCGAUCAGGCUGUUGGUGAGGUAAUGGCUCACCAAACCUAUAACCGGUACGGGCUCUGAGAGGAGGAGCCCGGAGAUGGGCACUGAGACAAGGGCCCAGGCCCUAUGGGGCGCAGCAGGCGCGAAACCUCUGCAAUAGGCGAAAGCUUGACAGGGUUACUCUGAGUGAUGCCCGUUAAGGGCAUCUUUUGGCACCUCUAAAAAUGGUGUAGAAUAAGGGGUGGGCAAGUCUGGUGUCAGCCGCCGCGGUAAUACCAGCACCCCGAGUGGUCGGGACGAUUAUUGGGCCUAAAGCAUCCGUAGCCGGUUCUGCAAGUCUUCCGUUAAAUCCACCUGCUCAACAGAUGGGCUGCGGGGGAUACUACAGGGCUAGGAGGCGGGAGAGGCAAGCGGUACUCGGUGGGUAGGGGUAAAAUCCUCUGAUCCACUGAAGACCACCAGUGGCGAAGGCGGCUUGCCAGAACGCGCUCGACGGUGAGGGAUGAAAGCUGGGGGAGCAAACCGGAUUAGAUACCCGGGUAGUCCCAGCUGUAAACGA
rnacentral:rRNA from 1 species